AUUGAACGCUGGCGGCAGGCCUAACACAUGCAAGUCGAGCGGAGCGGCGGACGGGUGAGUAAUGCCUAGGUAUCUGCCUGGUCGUGGGGGAUAACGUCCGGAAACGGGCGCUAAUUCCGCAUUCUAUCAGAUGGGUCUAGGUAGGAUUAGCUAGUUGGUGGGGUAAAGGCCUACCAAGGCGACGAUCCGUAACUGGUCUGAGAGGAUGAUCAGUCACACUGGAACUGAGACACGGUCCAGACUCCUACGGGAGGCAGCAGUGGGGAAUAUUGGACAAUGGGCGAAAGCCUGAUCCAGCCAUGCCGCGUGUGUGAAGAAGGUCUUCGGAUUGUAAAGCACUUUAAGUUGGGAGGCGUUACCAACAGAAUAAGCACCGGCUAACUUCGUGCCAGCAGCCGCGGUAAUAC
rnacentral:rRNA from 1 species